rnacentral:tRNA from 1 species
UCCGUGGAGGACUAGUGGUUAGGCCACAGCACUCUCACCGCUGUGGCCUGGGUUCGAUUCCCGUCCAGAGAG